GGCAACGUGGCUGAGUGGUUAAAGCGUAUGACUAGAAACAUGAGAUGCUUGAGUUCAAUCAUAUCCCUUCGGGGUCACAGGUUCAAGUCCUGUCGUUGUCG